CGAGGUCACAGUAGCAGUAGCAGUAACAGCGCAUUUUCCUUCCAUCGGUAAACUGACUACCCCUAAAGACCGUAUGCAAGGAGACAGACCGAGACGGGGGAUAUAGACGUGUCGGAAUCCUGCAGUUCGUCAGUGACAUCGUCGAAAACAAGAAAAAGUGAAAAAAGUGAAAAAGUGAAAGUGAAAGUGGAAGUGAACAGAUAUGAACUUGACUUGAUAUGACUUGUAGUGCAUGAACGAGAGGAAUUUUGGGAAACAUUGCUUUUGUUUUUGUAGUGUGUGUUGUUUUUGUAGUGUGUGUAUAAUUUAUAUUUAAGUUUGAAAAUAAAUGGUUAAAGGUU